GAGGCGUCCAAACGGUAGGAAAGAGGUAAAGAUAAAAAGCAAGACGGUGUUUUUAAAGGUAAGUGUUUGCUAAUGUAACCUGUUUUCCAUACUCCACAACUGUAGCAGUAUUCAUGCAUUAGCAUAUAGUUAAUUUUAGCUGCUGUCUUAGUUUGUUGCGCGGUCUGUAUUCUCUGAACUUCUUUUUUUCUUGGCUUAAUCAAAACCAUAAUUGAGACAGGGAUGACAAACGCAGAUUUGAUGUGGGGUGUCUAAACUUGGAGAGGUUUGGUUUAUACUGGACUGAAAGACGACAGUGCCUAAAAAAUGUCUGACAUCAUCUCAGACUUUCUUGUGCUUGGGGGCGACUGACUGACUGUGUGUAAUUAGGGCAAAACUGAACAGAGGGUAACCUGAGUAAAUGUCAUGUGUAAAAGUUUAUUCUACUCUUUUCAUUUCACACUGGCUGUAACACAUCCACCUGUCCUCUCUUCACUUAGCUUUGCAAAUUAUAGCUAAUGGUAACACCAGAGAUCCAAGUGCUGCAAUUCAUAUAGGUUUGUGAAGUUUGAAAGCUGUGUUUAUGUUGAGACAACGCUAAACAGUGCCCUCUAGGCACAGGGUGUGUCACUACCCCCUCUUCCAAAUGGCCCCUUAUAUCCCCUGCGUGGUUAUCUGUGCGUUACCAACCCAGAAUCAAUCCCUGGCUGCUGCACCGUGGAACCCAACUCCUGAAAGACUGAAAGCUAUGUUUACAGGCAGCAUUGUUGUGAAAAAUACAUCCUGUCAAGGGUGUGCAAGACUUAAGGCGGCUUUAAGAGGUGUGUUGGGAUGUUUUGUGGUGCAACAGUUUCACAGAAUACAUCUUGUGCUUCAUCCCACACCAUGGCACAAUGGCUGGCUUGCCCUCACUGAGGGGGUGUACUGGUGGGUGGUUGGAAGUGGCGCAACAUCAAGUGCAGCAGCAGUAAGUUUACACCCGGGAACUUGCCUUUCCCCACAGAGUAUAAGACACUUUUUGACUUCGUAACGUGUUCUUUGAUGCCUCACCUGUUUGAGCUUGGCAGGUAUUGUGUACUGAUAUCAGGCAGAGCCAGAAAGUGUAUCAAGGGGGUUGCUGGCAGCCCCUUCUGUAUGUGCUGGAAUGUGCCAAGGCUUGCUUUUGGGGUGGGACACCAUGACCUAAGGCAAUAGGAUGGGUGGGUGUGACUUGACUUACGCAGAAAGGGAAAGCAGUAUUAAGAGAUGAGGUGGGUGAGAAUUGUUACCUUUGAGGGAGUCACAACUCAUUUAUCCUUGAACCAAAUAACUGAGUGACGAUACACUGACUGAUGGUCACAGUUAGACCACAGAGUGGGAGGGCAUGGGUUAAUGAUUUGUGUCAUAUCUGAUUGAGUUUGUGACUUUGCUAACUCUCUACUUUUGAGCGCAACUAAAUUUCUACUUUUCUUUCGCUUUGCAGGGAGAGGUGUGAGAAGAGGCAGAGGGGGAAUGCUGUUUCUUUAAGAGAGAGGGAGAGAGAGAGUGUGAGAGAGAGAGAGAGAAAGGGAGGGACCUCUUUGCCCUCCAGAAACCAGGAAGGGAAUUGAGUUGAUCUGCUGCUGCUUGGUUAGCGCAUACGGGGCUUUAAGCUGCACAACAGUGAGAGGGAGAGGAGGAGAGGAGAGGGCUGAGCUAACCCACAACAAGCUUCACCACGGCCAUCGCAGGUGAGCUAAAGGCGCCCUGCCAUCCCCCCGCUGUAUGCCCUGGGCCUGUCGACCAGAGGGGAGCAGGGCAGAGGAGGAGAGGAGAGGGAGGAAUGAGGGAGGGGGGCAGAAAGGAGAGCAGGGUGGGGGGGGGGAGGUUGGCCGGAGAGGAGAGGUGGGUCGCAGCAGCAGUCCCUUGUCAAGGUUCCUCUUUUUUAAAAUCCUUACAAAGUACUUCCUCUGUGCUGCUAUUUACCUCUGGGGAAUCUUGAGAUAAAGUUUAUAGGAUGUGUUCAAGGCAUUAACUUUUCAGGCAGGUGGAAGCACUUAGAGAAGGAGGAGGAGGAGGAGGAGGAGAGGAGGGAGGGGGGUUCUCGAGAGAAGGUGGGGGGUACUGAACGAGAGGAAGGAGGAACCAAAAAUAAUUUUACUGGGCAAGGUAUGAUGGAAACAACUUUGCAGGACACUGGCGAAUGAAAUGCUCAUCACGGGGCAAGUUGUGUGCUGUGUGCGCAGGGCAUGCUGUAGUGGUUUUACACCCUUAGAAAUAGUCAUAAUUUAGGUCAGGAGUUAUAAGUAUGUCAAAAAUGUCACAGGAGUGUGAGCUGAUGAAGGAAUUCAUGUCUGAUUUGUCUGGUUCUGCUCUGACAGUUGUGAGUGAAUGUUAUUUCACAUACAGAGCUCUAUCCUGUUUGAUGGCUGGUCUGUACUUUAAUACCUGGCAGCCUGCUAGCAACAUACUGUAGUGUAUAAUUCAGCCCUGAGUGCUUACGUUAGAGCAGGCUUGGAGAUAGUGGGGGUGGUGAGGGCAGAGAUUCCUGGGACUGGUAGUCCACAGCAGGGGCUAUUAGGCAGGUUGAAUGGGGUUUCAGAACUCUAUAUCCCACAUUGCCUUGCCCUUGGCCAUCCAGGAAAGGGAACAGCCGCCAGCCUAUCCCAACAAGGAGGCGUGGUGAGUGAGCAGCUGUCAAGCCAAUGAGAGCAUGGGAUGCGGAGCUGAGUUGUGGGCUGAAAACAGAGGGGGGGUUGGUUGGGGGUGGUUGUGGUGGUUUGGGAGGGGGGGUAGGUGUCUGUUUGUGUGGGAUCAGGCAAGGGCUUGCCUGUAUGCAAGGGCCACUCGCAAGUUUCCUGUCUGGUAGAGCUCUAGCCCUGCCCAGAGACGGGGCAGCAGAGCUGGCCGGCAGGCAGGGGAGGCAGAUAGAGCCCGGGAAACAUUUUCUGCCUAUUUGGUAAGCACUCCAAAGACAUUCAUACACACACACACGCGCGCACACACACUCUCACACUGUGUCUUUAUACAGUGACUGAGAAGAGAACAGCGCCAAGCAGAGGAAAUAAAUACCGUGGCGUGUUGUGUGUGAAGGAGUGUGAGAGAGAUGGAGCUUGAUAGAGUUCAGAGUUCUUGACCCAAUUGCAAAUAAAGGAGGGAACAGCAAAUAGGUCAGUACUGAGUGUAAGGUGCUGCUCAGAACUUUUCACGGGCAACUACCAAACUUUCUUUUUUUGACUUUCAGCAUGCAAGCUCAGUGUGCAUCAGUUUCUCAUCUUAAUACAGCACACUAUUCUUUUAAUGUUUGUCUCUGCUACGAUGAUUAAAUGGCACAGCUGCUAUUAUUAGUCGAGUGAAAAGAUGAAGACGCUGCACAUCCCUUUUCUUCUGCUUUUUUAUAGUGCAAAAGUAAUUACAUCAAAACAAGUGCAUCUAAUUUUUGCUCAAGUGUCAGAGUAAGCGGGUCAAGAGUUGACCCGGUGGUUUAGCCAGGUUGGCGACUCAGGAAACCUCAGUCAGUGACAUCUUUUGUCGCUAACCGGCAAAAUAUGUGACACAACUGGUGACAACUGGAUUUCACUUUAAGGGUAAGCUGCCUCAGCAGAGCCCAUGCAGCACUAAAGUCAAAUUUAAGCCCUUUGCCUGGGAGCUUGUGUAUGUUCUGAUUGAUUUCAGUUUAUCUCAGCCACUUAAACCGUGGUCAAUCUCAUGACAUCUUUCUCUCCCCAACCCCCCUGCCUUCUUGCCCAGCAUCUUGUUAAAAGCAGAUUCUAAUCUUGCCCGUCAUGUCUUACUCGCUUGUGGCUGGUGGUUUAAAGACUUCACAGGAACCCUGACUGCCUUGCUCGAUAACCAGAUGCAUGUUUUUGGCUUUGCAUACUUGUUGAACCCGUUUUUUAAACGUGUGGGCACGAGAGGGUACAAGAAAAGCAGAGUUUAUGAAGACGCCCAACUGCUGGGAAAGUGGUUGUUCGAAGCAUUCCUAGCAUGCUGUUUUUAUGUAGUUUAAUGUCAGAAAGAAAAAUAUUAGUUUUUACAGUUAAUAAUUUCUGGAAAAUAUUACCCUGAUGCUGCCCUCUGUUCCACUCACUAGUUGCCACUACUAAGACAGUAUAAUUAGUUCAAGUUAAAUCCAGCAAGAGGUUAAACUAGGACGCCAUAUGUGUUUGUGUGCACGCAUGCAUGCAUGCGUGUGCGUCUGUGUUACCAACAAUAGACUUCAGGGGAAUUGCAGGGGACUUCAGUGACUGUGGGCAGGUCCAAGACACCACCCAUCAAUUUGGCGGUGAGGCUGAAUACAGUUUGAUAUUCCUGUAUGUUUGUGCCUACACCACUAUGGCUCAAAACUAGCAGGUUCAGACAGCCGGAGAAGACAGGUUGCGUGAUGUCGCCGUGGCAGUUUGAGGCUUUAUUUUAGAAUGAAAUGUUGGCUUUAUAAAGUUCUCUACAUGUUACCGACAUUAUGUCUGUUUUAAGUUAUUUUAAGGUGGUUCAAUGGCAUAUUUUGGCACUUUCAUUUAUUGUGGUUUAUUGUACCGAGUAGCAUCAUUUUGAGCUGCUGUUUAAUGUUUUCAUCUUUGUUUCUGUGAGUACUUUCAUCAGCCUCCUCCUCCUCCUCCUCUGUGCAUGAAACUUCACUUACCCCCUAAUGUUUGAUUCCCCUGGUCAGCUGCUCAGUAUAGCACAGCUUCCAGCCUGGCUAGGCAGACAGACAGACCCCUCUCUGUUGUUUUUCUGUUGUUGUGCUGGAGUCUAGGGGGAGUAAAGGGGCUUCUUCUGUUCUCCGCUGGGACAUUUAUUAUGGAGAGGCCAACACAACCUGAUCAAAUUAGAGCUGAAGAGGAGGAGGCUGGGAUGUUAGUCAGGGUGGGGGCAAAGCUCGACUUGAAUUCUUACAGGUUUUAGAUAAAUUGGUGCCAAUUUGGUAUUUUUAAUCAAGGGUUGUUGUUAUUUUUACAUAUACAGCCUGUGCAGAUUAGAUGUUUUUGUUUUUUUUAAUAUCAAACCUUGAAAGUACCAGAACCUUGUUUUAAUUAAUCAUAAAGCCGACAGGAAAAGUAUGUCUGACUUAUCUGACAGUUUGUAUUUAAUGAAUAAGAAGAAUGGGUGGGUUGCAUUAAAAGGCUGUAGGUGGGUGGGUCUGUGCUGCUUUGCCUUCUCAGCAAUGGAAAGGGGAAGUGGGUGAUGUGGUGGGUUCUGUGCAGAGACAGAGAUGGAGCAAUGAUGAGAUGAGAGAGACAGAUGGGGGGGGGGGGUCAGACAGUAGAGACAGGGAGAGCAAGCAGAGAGAGAGCUGGUCAUCUGAUAACAGAGCGGGUUCUGUUACAUGCCUGCCACAGAGUCACAGGAAGUCCUCUUUCCCUGUUGGGCUGCGCAUGCACAAAGCCGUCCAGCCAGAGCACGCUGGACUGCAGACUGACCAACUCGCCAGUCUUGGGUUCCGCCGGACAAUGAAAUGUGGGACUGAGUGCUGUUUUGAAGCCAUGUGUCCGAUUUGGUUGUACUUCCUUGUUGGCAGCAUGGCAGCAUCAGAGCAUGUUGUUCAGUCUGAAGUCAACUCAGACUGUGGAUGUGGUUUGAUUACACCACCGCUUGUGUAAGGCUGCUGUCCCAGUUGACGUACCGUGUGUUUCUGACACAAAUGGCAUCAUUAGGAAAUAUUCUGCAGAAGACAAUAUUUAAAAGGCAUGAUAUUCAAGUGUUAUAGUUUGGAGUUUUCAGGGUUCAUAUGUAAACUAAAAAUAUUUUAUGAUUCAAUGAACUUCUUUCAUAAUGUUCCUGCACUUUAGUGUUUCUGUGUAUGGACUGAUCACAAAACUUGAAGAACACCAUCAAAUUUGCAUAAAACACAACAUUAUCUGCUGCAUUCUUAUAGACACACUUUUUAUAUGUUGAACUGCAGUUAAUGUUGCUUACAGAAAGAAGAAAGAAAACAGUACAGAGACAAGUUAAGAACAGGGAAGCAUUAUUCAAGUUGUGCGCAGCAGCUACUGUUAUCACUUCUUUGGAUCCCUUUCUGUCUGUCAGCAUAAAACGUAGACACCAUAAAACCCCCUCCCAGCUUCCUCACAUUAAACUUUACCCUUCUUGUGGGUGGUUACCUUUCCUCUUAUUAAAGCAGGUUAUACCAGGUAACUGAAUGAGAUCUGAGUUUAUCAUUGACAUCUGAGCUGGAUUCCUAGGCCACCAUACGCUUAGGAGUUAUGUUAUGAGUGAUCUUGUGGGUUUGACGCCCUGCCUCGCCCACUGCCCCCUCACUUGCCCAGUGUCUGGGUUUUGGCAGCACUUCCUCAGUUAGUUUCUACCAGUGAAAGCUGCAAGGGCUAGAUCAGCCUUCACAAGUUAAAGUUUUAUCAGUCACUGUGCCUCUUCCUGCUUCGCUCUGAGUAUGACCAAUCAGGUUUCCUUCCACCACUGGCAGCAGUGAGUCAGUUUUGGCUGCUGUGGCACUUGCUCAAAAUCCACUUUUCCUAGGAACUGCAACCCCCUCCCCAUUCUAAUUAUAUUGCAUUACCCUGGUCCGACCUUGAACUCUCUUGACCUACGGGAAGCUAUUUCCUCACAGCAAGCCAGGUUACGCUGGGUGAUAUUUAGUGUAAUGCUCAAACAGGUAGGAAGAGGAAUGACAAACAAAGGGUCAGGGAUGCAUUCACAAGAGCAAAAGUCAACCAAAUUCAGCAUCUUGUUGCAUAAAACCUAAAUCCCUUCUUCACAGGUUUCAAUCCUGGCUUUGCUGCUGUGUUUCAGUUGCACUCUAAUCUCACCACAGAGCUGGUUGCAGUCUGAAUAUCCGAAUUAUUCUAAUAAAUAAGCUUCUGAAUGCAAAAAGUCUUUGGCAUUGUAAAAUUGUUACUCCUUUUAAAGAAUCGCUCUCAUGUAAAAGCAAUGCACCAAUAACACUUCAGAAGGUGUUCAUUAUAAAAUUAAUAACGGCUUUUUAUUCAGUACUAAAAGGUGGCCCAUCUGUACUCCAUUAACAUUUAUGAUCCAAGGGAUCAAUGAUUCAGUUAUGUUUGCUCUUACUGCUUCCUCUUAAAGGUGGGUUGCUCAGUAUUUUCAUGAGCUAAUCACUUCCUGCAGUGUGCCAGAGUCGAAAAAACUAGUACCUGAAAGUUUAAAUGGAGACAACAGAGAGGAUAUUUGUUUUCAAUUUCAUUAAAGCAAAACUAAAAGGUUCUCUUGAAUGAAAAAAAAAAGGUGCAGCGUCUAUUUUUUGAUGGUAUGACAGCUAUUAUCUUCAUGCCUUCCCAAACAUUUACUAAUGCAGCUGUGCACUGCUUUUAGAAAGUGUCAGCGAGUGUUUGUUUCCUUGUAUAUCUAAAGAAACAUCAGAGGUUGUACAGGGUUAACAGUUUGUUCCUUUGUAUUUAGGAAUGACUGGUAUGUGACAGCCAAAGACAGAGAUACUCCGAGAGUGGAAGUUCUGGAGUACAUCCAUAAGCGAUACAUAACACGCUGAAUAAAAGCACUUUUGCUAACCGCUACCACAUCCUUAGGUCAAGGUUAUUUUAAAAAAUGAAACGCAAAUGUGUGGGGAACUGUUGUAUAGGAAAUCAUCGUUGGCUGUUUCAUGCCUGAAGCGCAUGUGUAGACAUAAAUGGGAAGAGGUGGAGGGAUGGUUCUGAUGAGAUGAAGGUGAUGAGGGCGUGGAUUGGAUGGGUGGAUCCUGUAUUAAAGCAGUUGUUUGACUUGCAAAGCAGGCCUGGGUGCUCACGGAAUGGGUAUUGAGAGGAGGCCCUUCGCUGGAAGAGUGGAGCACAAGGGACACGGACUGUUUCUGUGCUGCUUUGUGCUGGGCUGCAGGCCUUGUCACCCACAGGCAUGAAUUAGUGAUAAGGAAUGUUUCAAGCCAUGAGGAGGUGUCAGGAUCAGGUUGGUUGCACUGUGUUUCCUCUUUCUUAGCGCUCUUUACAGGUCAUUCAGGGACAGGUGGCUAUUACGCGCAGACCCGCCCCUCCAUGCUUUGUUGGGAGUGAAUUAAGCUCGUGUGUAUGUGUGUGUACGUUUUAUCUCCCCUCAGCUCAGCGUCUUUAACACACAAAGCCGUGACCCAGGGUCAGGUGUGUAUCUAAGGGGGAUAACGUGCUACAAGCUUGUUGAAAGCCCGGUCUACUACAGGUGCUGUGUAUCUUUGAUAGAGGAGAGCAGGUCUGCUGGGGUCUGGAUGGACUCACAGAGACCCACUUCAAACUGUGAAGGACAUUAUCAUCACCAUGUGGUUGCCCUUUCUCUUGCUAUCCCGCUCUCUGUCUCCCUCCUUUCUGUGCCACCUCUCCUUGUCUUUGCCCUCAACUCCCUCCGCUCACUUAGCAUAUUCAGAUUUGCUAAUGUUCAUAUCUGACAAUUGGUGUGUUUACAUGGACAUCAGUAUUCUGGCUAGGAUCAGGGCUUUGAAGUAUGCAAAACAAGCUUCAGAUCUUGAGUUCCAAAAACCUGGAUAAGCCUGUAACUCGUUUUUGAGAGACCCAAAUCAUGCUCUGCAGAGUACUUGUUAGUGUUCAUCAUAUCUUAGCUGUGUUACCCGCAACUACCUGCCCGGCUGUGAUUUUGACCAGGUUGCAUCUAAGGAAUUAAAAGCAAGCAGUCAUCAGAGUCUAUAGAACCAGGAUAUGAAUAACAAGAUUUGUCUGUUACCUGUAAACACUAUACUCCAAAUUUUGAUCCCAACUGGGUUAGGCUGCAUUACUGGAGUGCCUCUGUCCAUGUUAACAAACUUAGUCCGAUUUGUUUGGAGUAUCUUUACAAAAAGAUGUUUGCAGUGUUUGUACAGGGUUUUCAGUCAGCGGCCAAUCAGAACUUGAGUGAAUCAAGUGCAGUAAAGUCCUUCAGAUUGUGCUACAGAUAAACAGUGCAGUUGGAUAUUUCGUCAGUAAUCAAACAAAGCAGUACUUGAAAAUACGAGCCGUGUCAUUUGGAUGUGCAUGCUUGUAUUUGAAUCAUCAUGCCGAAACAAUUAUUGAUCCAUUUAGUGGAUGAUGCUAAGUUUAAACAACCCCCCUGCUUACCACCCCAGAGAGCUCUUUAGGUGAAGCCUUUACCUAACUCUGACCUGUUUACAGAGCUGACAUGUUGCCAGAUCCCAAGGUGUGGAUACAAAUAGGCGUUGCUUUUUACAGGGGAGAACAGAACACAACACCGGAGAGAAGCGAAGAGGAGAGCGCAGGUAGGAAAGAGGAGAGGCAGCCAGGUUAGGCAGGUUUGGUUGUGGGGUGUAGCAUACCGGUAAGGCUGAUCUGUAGGAAUGUCAUUUGAAUGACUGGCUUUUUGUAGAGAGUAAUAAACUCAAUGCAUCCUCUUCCCCCCCCCAACCAUAACCCCCUGCUGGGUCUUAUGGCAGAUGGAGAAAGAGGGGAGGAGGGGUUGGACGAGUGGAUGUUCUAUAUGUGUGUUCAAGUGCAUGUAUGUUUUUUUUCCUGUGUUACUGUUGCCCAUGCAAUGUUACACUAUUUGCUUUUGUAUGUGUGUGUGUUUAUAGACAAAUCGAGGAUGGCUUGUUCUGCUGAAACCCCCCUCCCACUGCGCAGGCUUCAGUCGAUCAUUUUAAUCUCCCCCCACACGUGAGCGAGGGGACAGCCUUUCCUGAAACUUGGCACACAGUACAGGGUGGGGUAACCAGCUCAGACCGGAUUGACAACCUCCCUUUUUAAUACUGUUCCCUCGCAGCUUGUUGCGUGUCCUCUUCCUUCUCCUGUAGAGUUUUUUUCCACAGGGUCUGCUCUGGCAGCCCCCCC